rnacentral:sRNA from 1 species
GAAGAAGAAGAAGAAAUAUUUGCUAAGACAAUGAAAAGGACACCUCCAAAGUGACUCUGAUGAGCAACAGCAACAGAAGCAAUCCUGAGGAUAGGGAGACACAGGAGGGGGCAAGGCUCUGAUAAGACAGCUGUGCAGAGUGCAAGGCAAAGAGUCUGCUGGAAACCACAGGGCUAGAAAAUCUCAGAUUGCUAGAAUGAUAAGCUCCCAGCCUGCUCUUGUAUCUUUACAUAUACCUGGGUCUUUCCACUGCCCCUAGUCUCCACACUUGUUUUUGUUAAAACUACUGAUUAAGCAAUAAGAAAACACUCAUUAACCAUUCCUAAUCUGUUCCCCCUUGCGCCCAAAGGGGAACAAAAGACUAAAAGAAGCCUAACCUGAUUUCUGAGUUUGUGUUUGCAAUGCCAGUGACGCACAUGUCAUGAUGGUCGGCUUCAUGUGACCUACAAUGUGAGUCACAAGCGGCUCAAGGCUUAGAACUAGCACAACCCAGAGCAGCUGGAGUUGGACUGAGAAUGCAAUUGACCCCUCCCUUCUUCCCUGGAAGAGCCUCCUCCUUCCACAGCUCAGCUCUGAAUGGGUGUCUAUGGGGCAGUUUCUAUGCUCUUGGAGAGAAUGCGUAGGAAAAGAGCAAGGAAAUACUCUUGCUUAGGUCCCCUGAUGACACAUCUCAGGUACGCAUACCCCCUUUCCCCCCACAGCACCCAUCUGGUCUCCCAGUAGAAUUUAAAAAUAGAUUUUUUGCCCAACAGUGAGGGCAAAUGCUGACUUGGUCUGGAAGAGAUCUCAUUGCCGAGGCCCUGCCAGGUUAGAGCAGGUUCCUGAGAGCCUCUGCUGGAGGCAUGAAAGGGAAACUCACUUUUGUCUUCAUCACAAGCCCAGCCUGGGCUGGAUGUAACAAUUGCCAAAAUGCAAAGCCAAGACAGCAUGAAGAAUGGCCUUGCUGCGGACACAAAUCCCAGACAGGAGGAUUUCCCAGAGCCCAGCUCAAGCUCAAAGUAGAGAGAAAUUCUUUCCUACUCGGGGGUGCCAGGAACUUGACAGUAGAAUAAUAUCAGGAGGAAGAACUGCAGAUUCAGAAAGGCAGACAGGCAGGAGAGAAAAGAAGACAGGAAUAAAUCCUGCUCUCAAAGCACACGAGACUGCAGCUCUUUUCUUCUCAUUCUCUCCGGCUUUCCUACUCUCCAAGAGUUGAGUUUGGCCUUCAAGCCUCAAGCUUGGAUGUAGUUUUCGGGAACCUAUACUUCAUUCGUGGCAGAGCGGAACUCCCACAUCAGCUGGGAAGAUGACAGUGCAGAAACCUGGAAUAGUCAGGUGCACAAGGAGAAGCUGCUUAUUGGUGGACGCGCCAGGCCAAGGAAGUUGGAAGCUGUAGCAAUCCAUACCCAAGAGCUGAGGGGAAAGCUUGAAUCUGUGAAAAAGCACCUCGACCCGCAAAGUUUGUCAGCCUGGGCAACCGCUCCAAAUGGCAAUUUCAAGGCCAGACUAAUGAGCUAAUAAAUUAUAGUCACUUCACACACAACAUGGUAUGAUUUUUCCUGCUGAGUUGAAUCAGGUAAUAAUCCCGGCUAACCUUUAAAAAACUGAUUGGUGCUCACCCUAUAAGGAGCCCAGAGAGAUUCAACCUCUGGAUUAGAUGUAGAGGGUAGAAUUCACAUCUUCCUAUGUCAAAAAUAUUGGUAAAGCCUUAGCUACUUUACCCGCCCCCUCCCCAAGGGAAACUUGGGAAUAUUAAGAUAGUUUUGUGUGACAACUGGUAAGGCAGAAAGGGAAGGUGUUACUAAUAUCCAGAGGGUAGAGACCAGAGGUGGUGCUGAUCUCUCUACAUUACAUGAGAAACCUUCCACACAGAGCUAGCACCUAAAAUGGCAUUCAUAUUGAGGUCUUUGAAGAAACCCCUCUCUAGAGCAUACGCUGUAAGCUGUAAGUAGCUUAUAGUGCAUUUGUUUAACCAAGCAAACUGAUCAUCUUUGGAUCUGAAUUUGGAAGCUAGGAAUGAGAAAAACCACAGUCUAUAUGAAUUCCACUGGGCACAGUUUGGUCCAGUAAAUUCUCCACAGACUUCUGUCAAGAAGUUGUGCCCUAUGGAAAUGAUGGAAAGGAAAAAGAUGUAGAAGUCAUCGUUACUUCUGACAGUGAACCCCCAUCAUCUUGAAUUGCAAGAUGUGUCUUGCAGAUGGUUAAGAUUUAAUGAGCAUGCUCAAUUAGCUCUGUCACCGAUACCCAGGGGGAAAGCCAUCACACUGGGAUAUGGCCUGAGGCCUCAGACUACCAUUCAUCUGCCCAAAUUCAUAACAUCACCGACAUAAGUCAUUCAAAUUUCUCUGGAGCCCGGGGAGCCAGCUGGGCUUAUAAGCAACAGCAAAAACAAUGGUAGGCAGAAUAACCACUCCAGGGACCAGUAAACCUUUUGUGUUAUCCAUGAUGUAAUCUGUAAAGAAUUACACUAAUUAUACUUCCAUGUGUUGAUUCACCUAAAUGCAAAAGUGGACAAAUAAAAUCUUCAAAAAAUUAGCUUAAGUGAGGUGUGUGGUGUGUGUGUGUGUGUGUGUGUGUGUGUGUGUGACAUGAGAAUGUAUUGGGGGAGAAGUAUUUUUUUCUAGAUGAUAUUUUCUAAAAAAAAACCACACAUAUCUAUUGUAAAAUUGUAUAAAUGGAUGUGUCUCUGUAUGGAUAUUUCCUAUAAGUGCAUAUGCAGGUGGCCAAAGAGGGCAAAGGGUGUCAGAUCCCCCCCCCCCCAGAGUUGGAGUUACAAGCAGGUAUGAGCUACCUGCCAUGGGUGCUGUAAAUCAAACUCAGGGCCUCUGCAAGAGCACUGAAUGCCGAGCCAUCUCUCUAGUCCACCUCUUCUCUCCUAACUGAUGACAUUUCCAGGAAAGCAAAAGGCUUACCAAGUGACGGUUCCCAUCUCAUAACAACACUGCCUUCCCAUGAAAGGUCUUCACCCAUAGUAAAAGUUCUGGUGACAGCAGUUUACAACAUGUUUGCCUCUGAUCAGGCUUCUAUCACUUGAAAGGUCAGUAGCAUUCUAAUCAAGGACCAGAGCCUACAAGUGUCACUUCUGGAGAUUCCAGGGAUUUAACUAAAGUAUGUCACAUAAUAUAUUCUUGUGUUUCUACAGAAACCAUAGGGUACUCGCAAAGUCUCAUAAUUUUUAGAUGAAACUUGAUAAUCUAUUGAGGAGACUAUCUCUCAUGCUGACCCCUACACUAUGGCCUUCCUUUUCUAUAAAUGUGUAGGACAUAUGGGAACAAUUGCAAUGUGAAUCUAAUCCCAAUGCAACAUAUGGCAACUGGGAUGAAUGGCAGUGUGCUCCUUUCCAGCCUCCUGUGUCACCUGUGAUUGCAUUGUAACCACAUGGCAUAAGGGCUGUCCUUUCACCAUGGUAAUUGGGACAGUUAUGGAAUCGCCAUUUUCUCUGUCCAUCAUUGUCUCCUGUAAAUGUUAGGCAGUGAUGAGAUGCUCAUCAUAGAUAACUACCCUUCCCCCACAGGGUGACAGCAACCUACACCCUGAUACUAGUCCUAUAGGUACUGAAAUGAAUAUGUUAACUAAUCAGCUGUUUUGAAAGCUUUGGACAGAAAAAUGGGUCUGUGGGUCAUAACCAAUAAAGAUAAUGAGCAUUUUCACUGUUAGAUGACAUUUCAACUAAGUCAAACCCUCUGGCCAGUAAGAAAAAGGUUAUGGGGAAAAAAUCAAAUAGAAAAUCUGCUGAGAAGGCCCAAUGGGCCCCUUGAAUGAAACCCUUCCUCUUGUGUCUCAAAUGACAGCAAAGAGAGAGGCAGGAACAGCAGACAGCUAUUUUUUCUUCUAGAUAAUGCACAGUGGGAUCGAAUAUCUUAUCUAAGGUAACAAUGAUUGUCAACCUUGCUAUAUAUUGUGAGAGGAGACCAAAAACCUUGGGGAAAAUAAUCUGCAUUGGUCACUUAAGCAGAGUAUAUAAGAAGCCUCUACCCUUUUACAGAGGAGAGAACCGAGCCCCAGAGAGGGUUAACAGCUACUCAAGGUGAAGCAAUUCUCCAGAAAGAAUAAUAGGAAGCAACACUUUGCACUCUGACUUCUUGUCUGUCCUCACUGAUCCAGCCAGGAGAUCUCUACAGCAUUCACCAUCUCUGAGCUCAAGGCUGCUGGCCAGCUAGUCAGUAAGAGAAGAUCAUUUCCAAGUUGAAAUGUGUGCUGUUGCUUGAGGAGGUUGACUCUUCCUAGCCAGGAAGGUAUUUGUAUGAAUUUAAGUAAUCCCAAAAAAAUCAAUAGAAGACUUCAGUUUGCCAAUGGCUUACUGGGUCAACUGGUCUUCGGGGAGCCUGUACAUGUAGACUGUAACCUUGACAGGGGCCCAAAUGGAAAAAGCAAUGCACAUGCCCACCUUUAGACCAUGCCUUGUUCCUGGUCCACUUCAGCUGUCUCUGGUCCUUAUGUGAGCCAGUAGGAAAGUUGCACAGCAGGCAACCUAAAAGAAGGGUGGCCCCUUAAGCCCCAGGGACUUAAGCUCCUAGCUGCAAAUUUCCUUUCUCUCAAAAGAGCACUCUCCACCUUUUUUUCUUAGCACAACCCUUAGAGUGCCCAUGAGGAGGGAAAGUGAUUCCCACCAGGAAUAAGCUGUAGGUAUAUUCAAAAAUUGAGAUUUUUGAAUUGCAAUUGGCAUCUCUCAGGGCCUUUCAGACAGGGGUCAUCUAAACUGCAAAGUGACAUUUUGUGUUCCUAACAUGGCAGAGACUACAUGAAAAAAACCACAAGCCAGCAGUUUCUGAAACACAGGCUCAAAAAAGCAAGAACACUAAAGUGCACUAAACCUUAAUGAUCUUCCAUGAUUAUUCCUUGAAAGAAAAUAGCAAGGGACGUUCUGGUUUCAAAUUAUUCUCCCUCCCAAACCUCUCUCCUUGCUAUUACUAUGAGCAAUAUCAUUCUUUACCCCUGCAGGAAACUUUUUGUAAGCAAAAUAUCAUUGAAAAUCCUUACUUUCACAUCCAUUCACUCCUGAGAAGAAACGAAGCUGGAUGAAGUUUGAGUGCCCAGCUGAGGAAAUGAAUGACCUCUGAUUGAUCUAAUUUCUUGGUCUCCUUUUAGCCACAUAUGAUUUCUACAGCCUGGCUACUGUGCUAUGCCUUUGUCUUCUGGCACCUGUGAACCCUUCCUAAUCACUAGUUAAGACCCUCAGGCCAUUUAAAAUAAGAAGCAGAACCAGAGACACUCUAGAUUCUGGGGCCUAGAAGUCUUCUGGGUCUGCAUGGGAUGGGGAUUCCCAGCUGGAGCCUCAGAGGAAAGUCAGUACAAUUUCCGGCCCUCUCCAGGCAGGGUAGCUCAAUUGCUCAUAGGUACGCUGCUCUAGUACUCAAUCCCUGAUGGGUUCUGAUAGCCCUCACUUACUUCAUAUACUUCUGGAAAGUUGGUCAAGUGCUUAGGAAGUGAGGGCAUCAUCUAAAGGCAAAGGAGAGCUGAAGAAUUGCAGGCAGAGGAGAAAAUGCCAACCAUUCAAAUGUCUUAAUUGGGUGUUCUUGGUAGAAUGGAGGCUGGUCUAGAAGUCUUUCUAGUAAGAGAAAGCCAGCUGCAUAAGCUUGGGCUUGCUUGGUUGGGCCUGGGUUUGUGGCAGGAUGGAAUGCUGUUUGUUCCUUUCUAGCACCAAAAGGAUUGAUUUUCCUUCUCUGGCAUCCACGUUGUCAUCUCUACCAUGACUGGCAGCAAUCUUAGUAGUGUUGGAAGGGUCUGUGAGAUAAAGGUGAAGAACCCCACACGGCCCCUGGCAUCGUAAAUAUCCAAUCAUAUAGCUUCAAACACUUCAUGGUGCUCACCCACACUGUGCCUCUAUUCAUGAAAUCAUCACAAUUCCAAGACAGAUAUUACGUGUUGUAACUGUUUUAGAGAUGAGGAAACUAAAGACUAAAGUCACAGAGCCAGGGAUCAAAGCUUCUAAGACCCACGCCAUGUGUCAUUCGGUCAGUAGUAUAAAGUAAGCAUCACAAAGGCCACAGCCUAGAAAUACAGUGGCUUUCAGAUACAUUCAGGACUGGAAUAGAGAAUGAAGAGGAUACUGACUGACUUUUGGGCUUUCUAUGCAUGAUACUCCAGACCUCUCAUGGAGAAGGAGAAUGAGGAAAAAGUGCAGGUUUGAACCUGUGAAAUAAGCCUUUAAAUGAGUAAUAGUUAUUAUAUUAUAGUAUAUAGUAUAAUAAUUAUUAUACUAUCAAAUGACGGUAGUUCUUUGCAUAAGGAACUUAAAGAGGAAACUAAGGUUCAUCUUCUAUACCAGUUUCAUUCAUUCACUCAUCUUUUUUUUUCUUAUUUAAAGUACCAGGAAUUGAAACUAGGUCUUCAGGCAUGCAAGGCAAAUGUCUCACCACUAGGCUACAGUGCUGCCCCUCGGAGGCUCUAUAUUGGAGGAAUCACUUGAAAACUAUGUGGGAAAAAUGAGUGGAUGACGUUCCACAGGGAAAUGGGUUGAGUUUAACAGAAGAGGACCUCCCUGUGAGAAGAGGAUUUGAAUUGUUUUCUUUUCUUUCUUUCUGUGAGACCAUCUCAUGUAGACCAUAGGGCUCCACAGCAUCACUCUCCUGUCAGCCUUCUGAACAUUGUGUUUUCAGUCCCUGUCCAGGAUACACACCUGAGGGCAUUGAUACUUAAGGGUUAAACACAGAGAAACUGUUGGAGUAGAGCAAGUAGAAAUGCUGAGUCAGUUGGGGGAAAAAGGAGGACUUUCGAAUUCCUUUUUUUCCUCUAACUGAAGUUUCAAUUAGGAUGUAGAGACCGGGUACUGGUUACUAAAGAGUGAGGAUGCGAUUGGAAAAAAAGGAAAGAUU